GCUCCGGUGGCCUAGUGGUUAGUGCGUCCGCCUCGGAUGCGGGUGGUUGUGGGUUCGAUCCCCGGUCGAGUCCUACCA